UUAGUGUACUUUAAAACAUUGGUUCCCCUAGCAUGUGGGUUAAUGUAGGGGAGGCAAAAUUUUACCUCUACCCUCUUAGAGAUUUUUUCGGUUGUGGGGUGCUGAGAAUUAAAUUGACAUAAGACAGAUCAACAGAAGAAAAGCAUACAAAUUUAUUUAAUCCAUGUUUUAUGUGGCACAGGAGCCCUCAUAAGAAAAUGAAGACCCAAAGAUGCAGUUAGGGUUGAACACUUAUAUACUGAAUGGAACAAAGAGUAGUAAAUUAUGAAUAUGUGAGAAAGCAAAGGGCCUUGGGCUAGGGUAGUUACUUGGGUGAAACAGCCAGGAAGAUAAGGGUUAGUGAAAUUAGAUUUGUGCUAUAGUUUGGAUGUGGUUUUAUCGGGGGAAACCGCCCCCCGUAUUUCAACAUGAUAUUUUGUCUAAGUGUUGGCGGUCUGAGAAAGAGAAAGAGUACAAAGAGUGGAAUUUUACAGCUGGGCUGCUAAGGGGUGACGUCACAUAGUGGUAGGACUGUGAUGCCCACCUGAGCCACAAAACCUGCAGGUUUUUAUUAAGGACUUCAAAAGGGGAGGAGGUGUACAAACAGGGAGUAGGUCACAGAGAUCACAUGCAUCAUAGGGCAAAAAGGAGAACAAAGAUCACAUGCUUCUGAGGCCAAUAAAGAUCACAAGGCAAAGGGCAAAGCAAAGAUCACAAGGCAAAGGGCAAAAUCAAAAACUCCUGAUAAGGGUCUAUGUUCAGCUGUGCACAUAUUGUCUUGAUAAACAUCUUAAACAACAGAAAACAGGGUUUGAGAGCAGAGAACCAAUCUGACCUCAAAUUUACCAGGGAGCAGUUUUUUCCCCACCCUAAUAAGCCUGAGGGUACUGCAGGAGACCAGGGCAUAUUUCAGUCCUUAUCUUGACUGCAUAAGACAGAUACUCUCAGAGCGGCCAUUUAUAGACCUCCCCCCAGGAAUGCAAUUCUUUUCCUAGGGUCUUAAUAUUCCUUGCUAGGAAAAGAAUUUAGUGAUAUCUCUCCUACUUGCAUGUCCGUUUAUAGGCUCUCUGCAAGAAGAAAAAUAUGGCUCUUUUUGCCCAACCCUGCAGGCAGUGAGACCUUAUGGUUGUCCUCCCUUGUUCCCUAAAAAUUGCUGUUAUUCUGUUCUUUUUCAAGGUGCACUGAUUUCAUAUUGUUCAAACACACAUGUUUUACAAUCAAUUUGUACAGUUAACACAAUCAUCACAGUGAUCCUGAGGUGAUAUACAUCCUCAGCUUACGAAGAUAACAGGAUUAAGAGAUUAAAGUAAGACAGGCGUAAGAAAUUUAUUAUAAGAGUAUUAUCAGGGAAGUGAUAAAUAUCCAUGAAAUCUUCACAAUUUAUGUUCCUCUGCUGUGGCUCCAGCCAGUCCCUCCAUUCGGGGUCCCUGACUUCCCAAAACAUGGUUUGUUUUCACCAAAUCUCAUGUUGAAAUUUGGUCCCCAGUGUUGGAGGUGGAGCCUAAUGGGAGGUGUUUUCAUCACAGGGAUGGGUCUCUUAUAAAUAGAUUAAUGCCCUCCCUGGGAGGUGGUGGGGUGGUGUGAGUUAGUUCUCACUCGAUUAGUAUCCACAAGAGCUGAUCAUUAGAAGGAGCCAGGCACUUUCCCCUUCUCUCUUGCUUCCUCUCUCCCCAUGUGAUCUCUGCACAUGCCAGUUCCCCUUCACCUUCCACCAGGAGUGGAAGCAGCCUGAGGGUCUCACCAGAAGAAGAUGCCGGCAUCAUGUUUCUUGCACAGUCUGCAGAAUCAAGAGCCAAAUAAACCUCUUUCCUUAUAAAUUACCCAGCUUCAGGCAUUCCUUUAUAGCAACUCAGAAUGCGCUAAGACUGUACAGAUUUCCUUCAGCCUCAACUUCUUAUCCUUGAAGGUAAGAAUAAUGCUUUCCUUCUGGCAUAGGGAGAGCAUCUUUCACAUGGGAAUUUCAUCUCCUGCUUUUAAGAAACUGAAGAAAGGUCAGAGUGAUCUUCUUGCACCUGCUAUUGUUCAAGUGCCUUUAACUUAAAAUAGUCAAUAUGCCAGAGCAAGAUAUUUUGGGGUAUCAUGCUUUUAACUCCUUCAGUAAUUGGAAGAAAUCUAUGAGUCCAUAAGUGUAUCAGAUUUUAUCUGUAAAUUAAUAUUAAAUAAUACAACCUGCACAUAAUAAAAACCACAAGUUAAAAAAUAUAAGCAUCAUUUAAAAGCAGUAUCGAAACACUUCUGGUUUCUGGUUCAAUAUGAAAAGAACUUGGAAGUCAUCAUUCUCAUCCUCACAACAAGAAAUAAGCUGAACAAACCAAAAAUCAACAAUUCUUCUGACCAGGCAUGAGCCAUCACAUACAGCCGCAU
rnacentral:lncRNA from 10 species